ACACCGGCAGCUCAAGUGGUAGCCGCUUUUAUUGGGCCUAAAGCGUCCGUAGCCGGUCUGAUAAGUCUCUGGUGAAAUCCCACAGCUUAACUGUGGGAAUUGCUGGAGAUACUAUCAUGACUCGAGGUCGGGAGAGGCUGGAGGUACUGCCAGGGUAGGGGUGAAAUCCUGUAAUCCUGGGAGGACCACCUGUGGCGAAGGCGUCCAGCUGGAACGAACCUGACGGUGAGGGACGAAAGCCAGGGGCGCGAACCGGAUUAGAUACCCGGGUAGUCCUGGCCGUAAACGAUGUGGACUUGGUGUUGGGAUGGCUUCGAGCUGCCCCAGUGCCGAAGGGAAGCUGUUAAGUCCACCGCCUGGGAAGUACGGCCGCAAGGCUGAAACUUAAAGGAAUUGGCGGGG
rnacentral:rRNA from 1 species